rnacentral:rRNA from 1 species
GACGAACGCUGGCGGCGUGCUUAACACAUGCAAGUCGAGCGGAGCGGCGAACGGGUGAGUAACGCGUGAGUAACUGCCCCCCUCUCUGGGAUAACAGUUGGAAACGGCUGCUAAUACCGGAUAGUGGGGGAUGACUCGCGUCCUAUCAGCUUGUUGGUGGGGUAGUGGCCUACCAAGGCGAAGACGGGUAGCCGGCCUGAGAGGGCGAACGGCCACAUUGGGCUGAGGUACGGCCCAAACUCCUACGGGGGGCAACGGUGGUGAAUAUUGCACAAUGGUGGAGACGCUGAGGAAGCAACGCCGCGGGCGGAAUGACGGCCUUCGGGGUGUAAACCGCUGUCAGCCAUGACGCGGUAGUGGCAGAAGAAGCACCGGCUAACUACGUGCCAGCAGCCGCGGUAAUUC